rnacentral:rRNA from 1 species
GACGAACGCUGGCGGCGUGCUUAACACAUGCAAGUCGAACGGAAAGGCCCUGCUUUUGUGGGGUGCUCGAGUGGCGAACGGGUGAGUAACACGUGAGUAACCUGCCCUUGACUUUGGGAUAACUUCAGGAAACUGGGGCUAAUACCGGAUAGGAGCUCCUGCUGCAUGGGGGGGGUUGGAAAGUUUCGGCGGUUGGGGAUGGACUCGCGGCUUAUCAGCUUGUUGGUGGGGUAGUGGCUUACCAAGGCUUUGACGGGUAGCCGGCCUGAGAGGGUGACCGGCCACAUUGGGACUGAGAUACGGCCCAGACUCCUACGGGACGCAGCAGUGGAGAAUAUUGCACAGUGGGCGGGAGCCUGAUGCAGCAACGCCGCGUGCGGGAUGACGGCCUUCGGGUUGUAAACCGCUUUCGCCUGUGACGAAGCGUGAGUGACGGUAAUGGGUAAAGAAGCACCGGCUAACUACGUG